rnacentral:rRNA from 1 species
AUUGAACGCUGGCGGCAGGCUUAACACAUGCAAGUCGAGCGGAGUGAUGGUGCUUGCACUAUCACUUAGCGGCGGACGGGUGAGUAAUGCUUAGGAAUCUGCCUAUUAGUGGGGGACAACAUCUCGAAAGGGAUGCUAAUACCGCAUACGUCCUACGGGAGAAAGCAGGGGAUCACUUGUGACCUUGCGCUAAUAGAUGAGCCUAAGUCGGAUUAGCUAGUUGGUGGGGUAAAGGCCUACCAAGGCGACGAUCUGUAGCGGGUCUGAGAGGAUGGUCCGCCACACUGGGACUGGGACACGGACCAGACUCCUGCGGGAGGUAGCAGUGGGGAAUAUUGGACAAUGGGGGGAACCCUGAUCCAGCCAUGCCGCGUGUGUGAAGAAGGCCUUAUGGUUGUAAAGCACUUUAAGCGAGGAGGAGGCUCUUUUGGUUAAUACCCAAGAUGAGUGGACGUUACUCGCAGAAUAAGCACCGGCUAACUCUGUGCCAGCCGCCGCCGUAA